UACAGGGGGGGCAAGCGUUGUUCGGAAUUACUGGGCGUAAAGGGCUUGUAGGUGGCCAACUAAGUCACACGUGAAAUCCCCAGGCUUAACCUGGGAACUGCGUGUGAUACUGGAUGGCUUGAAUCCGGGAGAGGGAUGCGGAAUUCCAGGUGUAGCGGUGAAAUGCGUAGAUAUCUGGAGGAACACCGGUGGCGAAGGCGGUUCUCUGGGCCUUACCUGACGCUGAGGAGCGAAAGCGUGGGGAGCGAACAGG
rnacentral:rRNA from 1 species